rnacentral:rRNA from 1 species
AUUGAACGCUGGCGGCAUGCUUUACACAUGCAAGUCGAACGGUAACAGGCCGCACUGUGCUGACGAGUGGCGGACGGGUGAGUAAUGCAUCGGAACGUGCCCAGUCGUUGGGGAUAACUACUCGAAAGAGUAGCUAAUACCGCAUACGAUCUAUGGAUGAAAGCGGGGGACCGUAAGGCCUCGCGCGAUUUGAGCGGCCGAUGUCAGAUUAGUUAGUUGGUGGGGUAAAGGCUCACCAAGCCAACGAUCUGUAGCUGGUCUGAGAGGACGACCCGCCACACUGGGACUGAGACACGGCCCAGACUCCUACGGGAGGCAGCAGUGGGGAAUUUUGGACAAUGGGCGAAAGCCUGAUCCAGCAAUGCCGCGUGAAGGAAGAAGGCCUUCGGGUUGUAAACUGCUUUUGUACGGAACGAAACGGCUCUGGUUAAUACACGGGGCUAAUGACGGUACCGUAAGAAUAAGCACCGGCUAACUACGUG